UACGUAGGGGGCUAGCGUUGUCCGGAUUUAUUGGGCGUAAAGAGCGUGUAGGCGGCCAGGUAGGUCUGCUGUGAAAACUCGAGGCUCAACCUCGAGACGUCGGUGGAAACCGUAUGGCUAGAGUCCGGAAGAGGAGAGUGGAAUUCCUGGUGUAGCGGUGAAAUGCGCAGAUAUCAGGAAGAACACCCGUGGCGAAGGCGGCUCUCUGGGACGGUACUGACGCUGAGACGCGAAAGCGUGGGGAGCGAACAGG
rnacentral:rRNA from 1 species